rnacentral:rRNA from 1 species
AUGGCUGUGUGCGACCCCUUGCACCGGCAGUACCUCUUGCUUCCUCGGAUCCCCGAUGACCUAGCCGCUUCUGUUGUGGGCGCACAAGGGUCGUGCUACGCCGACUCCUUCCUCGUCCCUUCCGGCUACGACGACGAGGAGGAGGCAGCUACUACGGAGGAGCCAUCAUUCAGGGUGAUCUGGAUGGUGCUGCUCCAAAACAAGCCGGUGAUCGCUGUCUUCUCUUCCGGCACACGGCAAUGGCGAACCGUCCCAUCACCGACUUGGAGCGAGAUGUCACCUGGCUUCGUGUUAUCGACACUGUUUAUCUUCCUCAGGCGCCAUUACGCCCAUGGCUGUUUCUACUGGAUUUCAGGCUCCACUGAAAAAUUGCUGGUGCUCGACAUCCGCAGGAUGGAGCUGUCCGUGGCUGACCACCCGCCCUGUGAAAGAAAUCCGGCUGAUGAUGUGACCAUCCUGGAGGCAGGUCAAGGCACAACUCUGAUGUUUGUGCUUAAGCGCAGCACAUCCCCCGUUACUUAUACUGUUUGGCGAAACAAUGGUGGGAGCUCCACCUCCACCCGGUGGCAGAUGGAGAAGACAUUCUCGCUGGAUUCUGGGUCCUUGCUCACAGGUGCAGUGGGGAGGCACUUGCUCCUAUAUCAUGGCGGAAGCUCGGUCAAGCGAGGUUGUUCCACGCAGGACGUUGACACAUUCCAGCUUCAGAGGGUGUGUGCCACAUUUCCCAAACCGUCACACGCAUAUUGCAACUUCCCGCCGUCGUUAUUAUCGUCACCGACAAUGUCAAGUGGCACACCCCAGGGAGCGGGGGACACUGUGCCGGUGCCUGAAGCAGGAGUAGCUGGCCCUGGAGGUGUGCAAGGACCCGUCCUCGCAUCCGCCGCCCAAGCCCCAAACCCCUUGCUCGACAACAAUGGCGCGGAGGCGGGUCAUGGUGGGGCGAGAAGGAGGCGCUGGGGCUGGGUCUGGGGCUGGACCUGCGGAGUCUGCAGGCGCCGGGUAGCCGAGGUGCGAGGAGACGAAGGACUGGAGUAG